GCAUGCCAUUCCGUCCGAGGAUACUCCGAUGCAGCUCACCCUGUUGUCAUGACCAGCCAGCACUCCUGAGCCAUGAAGAGAAUCAUGUGUUUCCAGCACAAAUGAUGAUGGGGAGGUCGAUGCUGGUGAUGAUGCUGGUGGUGAUGAUAAUGAUGAUGCUGGUGAUGAUAUUGUGUGCUAUGUAGUUAUGUCUAGCCACUAUGGAGGAGUAUGUGUGACUAUGUUGUCUGUUAAGUGUUCACAGUUGCCAAAUGAGUUCCCCAUGGAGGGACAAUAAAGUUGUAUUGGAUUGUA